CUUUCCGCACGCACGUGUAGCGUGGAUAGAUAACUUCAGAUACAUUAUGUGAUGUUGUUUGUAUAAAUCACUUUGAGGUUAUGGCGAAGUUAAUGACAUAAACUUAUACUUUUUGAAAUAUUGAGAUACAAUACGUAUCACAAAUGAAUUAUAAUGAUCGGGUUAAUCAGAUCUUGUUCUAGUGCACUUAUAAAACGGAGUAAGAAAGGCGCAUCUGUGAAAAAGCCUAAGGGACCGAAACAGAAAUUAAAAACCUUGCCGGAAUUUCAAUAUCCCGUAAGUGAAGCAAGUGAUCGCAGAUUAUAUGUAUGGGGACUUGCUGAACAUGGAGCUUUGGGCUUAGCCAUUUCUACCAAGGGAAAAAAUAAUAUUGCAUAUACUCAUAAUCCACGGCGAUUAUCAUUUGGAGAACGCCAUAAAGUAGUAGACCUUGCUUGCGGUUAUGGCUUUACAGCAUUUGGAGUUCAUUCAAAUGACACUAAUAUUGUAUAUGGUUGUGGAAUCAAUACAGAUUCUCAGCUAGGAUACCAUGUAUCAGAUGAAAAGAACAAGAGUGGGAUAAUAAUAGACCCAAGGCCAGUAACCUUGCCCUUGAAGGAAUCAUCAACAAGGGUCGUUGGUUUAGCUGCUGGUAGAGCACAUUUACUGAUACUUACUGAUGAAGGAGUUUUUACAUUAGGUAACAAUGGUUACGGACAAUGUGGAAGACCGAUUAUAAAUAAUGAAAACUAUACGAAAAGUAAGGUAGUGCAUCAUAUACCAAAUAUUAAAGGUGAUCGGAUCACAGCUGUUUCAGCAGGGCAAGAUCACAGUAUAUUGCUAACUGAAAAGGGGGAAGUAUACGCAUUUGGUUGGGGUGCAGAUGGACAAACUGGUCUUGCACAUUAUCGCAAUGAAUUUAAACCCAGUCUAGUCAAAGGAGACCUGGCUGGUCAAAAUAUAAUUAAAGUUGCCUGUGUAGCAGAUUGUGUCCUUGCACUUAGUGAUAAAGGUAAAGUUUUUGGAUGGGGCAAUUCGGAGUAUGGACAAUUACCGGUUCAGGGCGAUACUCAUCAAAUAAAUAUAGCGACUGAAAUUCACGAAUGCCAAGACUUGGGUCACAUCGUAGAUAUUGCGACUGGUGGAAGUUUUUGCAUGAUCUUAAAUAAUACAGGAAAUGUUUAUGUAUGGGGCUAUGGAAUUCUUGGCCUUGGACCCCAAGUUCAAAGGGUUUUAAAACCUACUCUUAUACCAUCAACCCUCUUUGGUUUAAAUGCUUACGAAACCAAUUCCCAAGUAUCAAAAAUAUACUGUGGGAUAAGCCAUCUAUCAGCAGUGACAAGGACCGGUGAUCUUUAUACAUGGGGAAAUAAUAAAUUUGGAUGUUUAGGAUUAGGGCAUGAAAAUAACCAAUUCUUCCCAUUAAAGGUGGCUGUUGGAGCUCAAGUUCAGAAAGUGGGUUGUGGAGUAGAUCACACUAUAGCAAUCUGUAAACCUUUUGUUUAGAGAUGUGCAAGAUGCAGCUGCAAGUGCUUCAGUUGUAUUUACAUGGAGAACAUUGCGCGAAGUGCAUACAGUGAGAGUGCCCCAGCCCGCCCCCUGAACCUUACCUUUACUGUGGGAAGGUUUGACGAUUCGGCAG